AGAUUAGCCCUGCAUGUCUAAGUAUAAGCAAUCUAUACUGUGAAACUGCGAAUGGCUCAUUAAAUCAGUUAUCGUUUAUUUGAUAGUACCUUACUACUGGGAUAACCGUGGUAAUUCUAGAGCUAAUACAUGCUAAAAACCCCGACUUCGGAAGGGGUGUAUUUAUUAGAUAAAAAACCAAUGCCCUUCGGGGCUCCUUGGUGAAUCAUGAUAACUUAACGAAUCGCAUGGCCUUGCGCCGGCGAUGGUUCAUUCAAAUUUCUGCCCUAUCAACUUUCGAUUGUAGGAUAGUGGCCUACAAUGGUUUCAACGGGUAACGGGGAAUUAGGGUUCUAUUCCGGAGAGGGAGCCUGAGAAACGGCUACCACAUCCAAGGAAGGCAGCAGGCGCGCAAAUUACCCAAUCCCGAUACGGGGAGGUAGUGACAAUAAAUACUGAUACAGGGCUCUUUUGGGUCUUGUAAUUGGAAUGAGUACAAUUUAAAUACCUUAACGAGGAACAAUUGGAGGGCAAGUCUGGUGCCAGCAGCCGCGGUAAUUCCAGCUCCAAUAGCGUAUAUUAAAGUUGUUGCAGUUAAAAAGCUCGUAGUUGAACCUUGGGCCUGGCUGGCCGGUCUGCCUCACCGCAUGUACUGGUUCGGCCGGGUCUUUCCUCCUGGGGAUCCGCAUGCCCUUCACUGGGUGUGUUGGGGAACCAGGACUUUUACUUUGAAAAAAUUAGAGUGUUCAAAGCAGGCCUUUGCUCGAAUACAUUAGCAUGGAAUAAUAGAAUAGGACGUGCGGUCCUAUUUUGUUGGUUUCUAGGACCGCCGUAAUGAUUAAUAGGGAUAGUCGGGGGCAUCAGUAUUCAGUUGUCAGAGGUGAAAUUCUUGGAUUUACUGAAGACUAACUACUGCGAAAGCAUUUGCCAAGGAUGUUUUCAUUAAUCAGUGAACGAAAGUUAGGGGAUCGAAGACGAUCAGAUACCGUCGUAGUCUUAACCGUAAACUAUGCCGACUAGGGAUCGGGCGAUGUUAUUCUUUUGACUCGCUCGGCACCUUACGAGAAAUCAAAGUCUUGGUUCGGGGGAGAUGCACCCUAAUGGGAGGCAAAUUUCC
rnacentral:rRNA from 1 species